GUUGCGUCUCUCAUUCUGUUCUCUCUCUUAUUGCACUGUAACUUUUUCACAUGGUAUCAGAGCAUAGAUCUGGCCAUUGUAAUUGCCACCGAAGUGCUAUGGUCUGUACUAGAUUUGGAAGAACCCUGUGUUAACUUGUGAGCCUGAGUUGCUUGAAGAGAUCGCAGUGCGUCAAUGAGCUUGGGUUGCGAUUCAAAGGUUGUCGGCUGGUUGUGGAGCACAGGGGAUCAUCGGCUGGUAUCGUGAUUGCUGACUUCAUCGGUUCUUGGUUGUAUUCCUCAUCGACGACCAUCUCUGGGCUAUCGGCGAGCAGUUUGCAGCGGUCAUCGUCGGUAACGGGAGUUGGGUCUUGCCGUGUUCUAUUGUGCGCUAUUGUGCGGCUGGUUUUUGAUUGAAGUCGCCGAGAUCUCUGUGCUGUCCUGCAAAGGUGAUCGUGAAGAAGACAAAGGGGUUUGGCUACAAGCUUUAUUAUAACCCAAUUUUUCAUUAACCAGGUUCAGGAUAAAAUAAUUUAUGACCAAAUUCGAGACCCGAAUUUGGACCUGAUUUGCUUUGGGAUCCGACCCAGUUCUGUUCUAUUCUGGCCUUCUCUAUUGCAGCAGUUUUUUUUUUCUUCUUUGGUUCUUCUCGGGACAGAUUUGGAAAUCAGUGUGACUUCAUCUUGGGACAAAUUAGUUUUUUUCAGUUUCCACAUUCAUUUCGUUUGUUUCAGCAGUUGCGUCUGUUUUUCGUGGAAUUAAAUCCAUGUCAGAAACUUCAACUGUUGCUUCAAAUUCUACUGGAAUUAAGUCUCCAGCAACACAUUUUGAUCAUGUCGGGCUGCAAAUUACAACUAUAAAAUUACGUAAUUCCAAUUA